GCCUGGGUGGCUCAGUCGGUUGAGUGUCUGACUUCGGCUCAGGUCAUGAUCUCGCGGUCCGUGAGUUCGAGCCCCGCGUCGGGCU
rnacentral:tRNA from 1 species